GAACGCUUAGCGGCAGGCCUAACACAUGCAAGUCCGAGGGGUUAGAGGAAGCUUGCUUCCUUUGAGACCGGCGCACGGGUGCGUAACGCGUAUACAAUCUACCUUUUACAGAGGGAUUAGCCCAGAGAAAUUUGGAUUAAUACCUCAUAGUAUUUUUGAAUCGCAUGAUUUGAUUAUUAAAGUUCCAACGGUAAAAGAUGAGUAUGCGUCCCAUUAGCUAGAUGGUAAGGUAACGGCUUACCAUGGCAACGAUGGGUAGGGGUCCUGAGAGGGAGAUCCCCCACACUGGUACUGAGACACGGACCAGACUCCUACGGGAGGCAGCAGUGAGGAAUAUUGGACAAUGGGCGCAAGCCUGAUCCAGCCAUGCCGCGUGCAGGAAGAAGGUCCUAUGGAUUGUAAACUGCUUUUAUACAGGAAGAAACACCUCUACGUGUAGAGACUUGACGGUACUGUAUGAAUAAGGACCGGCUAACUCCGUG
rnacentral:rRNA from 1 species